GACGAACGCUGGCGGCGUGCUUAACACAUGCAAGUCGAGCGGAAAACUUCGGUUUUCAGCGGCGGACGGGUGAGUAACACGUGGGCAACCUGCCUCACAAUGAGGGAUAGCCUUCCGAAAGGAAGAUUAAUACCUCAUAACACAAGAGAAACGCAUGUUUCUCUUGCCAAAGAAUUUCGUUGUGAGAUGGGCCCGCGGCGCAUUAGCUUGUUGGUGAGGUAACGGCUCACCAAGGCUUCGAUGCGUAGCCGACCUGAGAGGGUGAUCGGCCACAUUGGAACGGAGACACGGUCCAGACUCCUACGGGAGGCAGCAGUGGGGAAUAUUGCACAAUGGAGGAAACUCUGAUGCAGCAACGCCGCGUGAGUGAUGAAGGUCUUCGGAUUGUAAAACUCUGUCUUCUGGGACGAUAAUGACGGUACCAGAGGAGGAAGCCACGGCUAACUACGUGCCAGCAGCCGCCGUAACAC
rnacentral:rRNA from 1 species